GAACGCAUCUUGCGCUCCUUGGUAUUCCGAGGAGCAUGCCUGUUUGAGUGUCAUUUCACCACUCAAGCCUGGCUUGGUAUUGGGCGCCGCGGUCAAUCCGCGCGCCUCAAAGUCUCCGGCUGAGCUGUCCAUCUCUAAGCGUUGUGAUUUCAUUAAUCGCUUCGGAGUGCGGGCGGCCGCGGCCGUUAAAUCUUUCACAAGGUUGACCUCGGAUCAGGUAGGGAUACCCGCUGAACUUAAG
rnacentral:misc_RNA from 1 species